rnacentral:tRNA from 1 species
GACACGAUGGCCGAGUGGUUAAGGCGAUGGACUUGAAAUCCAUUAGGGUCUCCCUGCGCAGGUUCGAACCCUGCUCGUGUCG